rnacentral:misc_RNA from 1 species
GCGUGCAGGCUGAACCAGUCGUACGAGAGGGGCUGAAGCACAUUAGUGAAGGAUGUGUGUUCAUCUACUGCCAAGUAGGAGAAAAGCCUUAUUGGAAAGAUCCAAAUAAUGACUUCAGAAAAAACUUGAAAGUAACAGCAGUGCCUACACUACUUAAGUAUGGAACACCUCAAAAACUGGUAGAAUCUGAGUGUCUUCAGGCCAACCUGGUGGAAAU